rnacentral:tmRNA from 1 species
GGGGCUGAUUCUGGAUUCGACGGGAUUUGCGAAACCCAAGGUGCAUGCCGAGGGGCGGUUGGCCUCGUAAAAAGCCGCAAAAAAAUAGUCGCAAACGACGAAAACUACGCUUUAGCAGCUUAAUAACCUGCUUAGAGCCCUCUCUCCCUAGCCUCCGCUCUUAGGACGGGGAUCAAGAGAGGUCAAACCCAAAAGAGAUCGCGUGGAUGCCCUGCCUGGGGUUGAAGCGUUAAAACUAAUCAGGCUAGUCUGGUAGUGGCGUGUCCGUCCGCAGGUGCCAGGCGAAUGUAAAGACAGACUAAGCAUGUAGUACCGAGGAUGUAGGAAUUUCGGACGCGGGUUCAACUCCCGCCAGCUCCACCA